rfam:TPA: Bos taurus chromosome 1, whole genome shotgun sequence.
UCCCUGGUGGCUUAGCUGGUAAAGAAUCUGCCUGCAAUGCGGGAGACCUGGGUUCAAUCCCUGGGUUGGGAA